rnacentral:lncRNA from 11 species
CGAGAUUCCAUCCGUCUGUUGAAGUGUUCCAUUCCACAGUUGACCACUUUUGAAUAUGUCUAUCUAAAGGUCCAAGUCAGCUGCCUGGUACAACAGGGAGCUCACGGCGAGGAAGCAAGUGAAACAGAGACUAGAGCAGCGUUGGCGUACUUUGCGCAGCAAGUCUGACUGAGCACGGUCUACAGGUUAUUUAAGAGCCUAUUCCACGGCAAUGAAGGCGGCAGAAAAAUUGUACAUUGCCGCCAACAUUGCAUCCACAAAGAACUGCCCAAGAGAGCUGUUUUGAGUGGCCAGGGGACUUUUAAACCCUGCCCAUCUGAGCACUCCUGACUAAUCAGCAGCUCACUGCGAUGGAUUUGCUAGGUUCUUUGUGGAUUAGAACCCAUCUAACUAAAGGGACAACUGAGGCUCAAUAAAGAAAACAGUAAGCCUCUGUGGGGCAUGACAGUAU